rnacentral:rRNA from 1 species
GUAACCUGCCUGUAAGACUGGGAUAACUCCGGGAAACCGGAGCUAAUACCGGAUAGUUCCUUGAACCGCAUGGUUCAAGGAUGAAAGACGGUUUCGGCUGUCACUUACAGAUGGACCCGCGGCGCAUUAGCUAGUUGGUGGGGUAAUGGCUCACCAAGGCGACGAUGCGUAGCCGACCUGAGAGGGUGAUCGGCCACACUGGGACUGAGACACGGCCCAGACUCCUACGGGAGGCAGCAGUAGGGAAUCUUCCGCAAUGGACGAAAGUCUGACGGAGCAACGCCGCGUGAGUGAUGAAGGUUUUCGGAUCGUAAAGCUCUGUUGUUAGGGAAGAACAAGUGCGAGAGUAACUGCUCGCACCUUGACGGUACCUAACCAGAAAGCCACGGCUAACUACGUGCCAGCAGCCGCGGUAAUACGUAGGUGGCAAGCGUUGUCCGGAAUUAUUGGGCGUAAAGGGCUCGCAGGCGGUUUCUUAAGUCUGAUGUGAAAGCCCCCGGCUCAACCGGGGAGGGUCAUUGGAAACUGGGAAACUUGAGUGCAGAAGAGGAGAGUGGAAUUCCACGUGUAGCGGUGAAAUGCGUAGAGAUGUGGAGGAACACCAGUGGCGAAGGCGACUCUCUGGUCUGUAACUGACGCUGAGGAGCGAAAGCGUGGGGAGCGAACAGGAUUAGAUACCCUGGUAGUCCACGCCGUAAACGAUGAGUGCUAAGUGUUAGGGGGUUUCCGCCCCUUAGUGCUGCAGCUAACGCAUUAAGCACUCCGCCUGGGGAGUACGGUCGCAAGACUGAAACUCAAAGG